CUGGUAAGCAACCAGAUCUUGAAAAGCAUGUAGGUGUCUGUUUGGGCAGCGCUUAUAUCUGGUGAACUCUAUGAGGACCUCAAAGUACAGUGCAACGAGAACUAUGUGAAUAUAGAACCAACCAAUACAAAAUGUGUAGCCGCUUAUGAACUUUACAAAAAAGAAAGAUGAUUAGCAGUUUAGUUCCUAUUAAAAACAAAUAAUUUUCUUCAAGCUUCCUAGAAAUGACUGAUUAAUUUUAUUUUUAUAAUUGCAGCGCGUUAAAGGUUUAUUUCGCAAUGACAUUUUGAAAC